rnacentral:rRNA from 1 species
CGGAAUUAUUGGGCGUAAGCGCGCGCAGGUGGUUUCUUAAGUCUGAUGUGAAAGCCCACGGCUCAACCGUGGAGGGUCAUUGGAAACUGGGAGACUUGAGUGCAGAAGAGGAAAGUGGAAUUCCAUGUGUAGCGGUGAAAUGCGUAGAGAUAUGGAGGAACACCAGUGGCGAAGGCGACUUUCUGGUCUGUAACUGACACUGAGGCGCGAAAGCGUGGGGAGCAAACAGGAUUAGAUACCCUGGUAGUCCACGCCGUAAACGAUGAGUGCUAAGUGUUAGAGGGUUUCCCCCCUUUAGUGCUGAAGUUAACGCAUUAAGCACUCCGCCUGGUGAGUACGGCCGCAAGGC